UACCAGCUCCCCGAGUGGUUGGGAUGAUUAUUGGGCCCAAAGCAUCCGUAGCCUGUUCUAUAGGUCUUCUGUUAAAACUAACGGCUCAACCGUUGGACUGCAGAAGAUACCAUAGGACUAGGAGGCGGGAGAGGCAGACGGUACUCCGGGUGUAGGGGUAAAAUCCUUUGAUCCUCGGAAGACCACCAGUGGCGAAGGCGGUCUGCCAGAACGCGCUCGACGGUGAGGGAUGAAAGCUGGGGUAGCGAACCGGAUUAGAUACCCGGGUAGUCCCAGCUGUAAACGAUGCGAGCUAGGUGAUAGAAUGGCUACGGGCCAUUCUAGUGCCGCAGGGAAGCCGUUAAGCUCGCCGCCUGGGUAGUACGGUCGCAAGAUUGAAACUUAAAGGAAUUGGGCGGGGAGCACCACAAGGGGUGCAGCCUGCGGUUC
rnacentral:rRNA from 1 species